rnacentral:rRNA from 1 species
CCUACGGGUGGCAGCAGUGGGGAAUAUUGCACAAUGGGGGAAACCCUGAUGCAGCGACGCCGCGUGAGUGAAGAAGUAUUUCGGUACGUAAAGCUCUAUCAGCAGGGAAGAAAAUGACGGUACCUGACUAAGAAGCCACGGCUAACUACGUGCCAGCAGCCGCGGUAAUACGUAGGGGGCAAGCGUUAUCCGGAUUUACUGGGUGUAAAGGGAGCGUAGACGGCAGCGCAAGUCUGGAGUGAAAUCCCAUGGCUUAACCAUGGAACUGCUUUGGAAACUGUGCAGCUAGAGUGCAGGAGAGGUAAGCGGAAUUCCAAGUGUAGCGGUGAAAUGCGUAGAUAUUAGGAGGAACACCAGUGGCGAAGGCGGCUUACUGGACUGUAACUGACGUUGAGGCUCGAAAGCGUGGGGAGCAAACAGGAUUAGAUACCCGAGUAGUC